GGGUCUUCUGGCUGUGUGCUGUGUUUUGAAGGGGAAUGUUCAGGAGCUGGAGACCAUAUUAUCAGUUAGUCUGAUGUUUGGUUGCUACCUUCCUGCGUAUGCUGUGGCAGAACUGUGGGUCAGCUUACAAAAUGCUCUGAAAUCCUACAGAAGCACUAUGCACAUCCCCUGUAAGGAGGAAAUUCAUAAAGGAAAAAUGCUGUGAAUUGAGCUGCACAAAUCUGAAACAGCCGACUCGCAACAAAUUCUCCAUCUGUUUUAAAGGAAUUCACUAAAACCAUCUUUACUUCCCCUCUUUGAAUGAAGAAGUGCCCUCAUGACUGCAGAGACAUUGUACAAAGGACAUCCAGGUCAAUGAAUGCCUUUGCUUUGGCUUCAGUGGGCUUUCAGUCAGGUCACAUUGAGAGUUGCAGCGUGCAAGGAGCUGACAUUUUUCAGGAAUGCAUCUCUACAGCUUCAUUUUGAAGAGUCAUUAGUUGUAUGCCUUUGCUUAGAUGGAGCUGUAACUUGCCAUCCCUACUCUUUAUAGAUGCAAUUUUAAAAUGUAUUUUUGGGUAGAUUUCUGGGAACUGAGAGAAACAUACAGCAACACAAAUGGAGGGAGGUAAUGUACUUCUGAGAGCAUGCAAAGGGUUCUGAAAAAUACUCACUUUGUCUUAAUAUUUAAUAAUAAACCCAGUCUUCUACAGAACAUUUUUAGGAUCUUGAGUUUAUAUGUGGUUAAUUCUGGUGUUUUCAGACUUCUAAGUGGCAAAAAUGUAAAAACUCCCAGUUGAUAAAUCAUGCUACCAAUCAAGAUACGAAAUGCAAUUUACAGCUCCCAAAUUAAGUAAUUUUACAUAUUUUUCACCAUAGAGGAAAAUGUGAGUUAAAUUAAGCUUUUCUUUGCAGCCAAGACUCUAUUCUUACAUCUUUUUUUAAAAAGUAAGCCAACAUAGUCAUAUCAUUAGCUCAGAUGGCGGCUUUAAGAAACACUAAAAAUUGCAAGACUCAGAAUGAAAUAAUGAAAUCUGACAGCAGCACAGUUUAUUUGUGAGAUUAUAAGUCUCUCAUUCAAACGCAUGUUACACAAUCUUCUAUAAAUACUGUUUCCCUUGUUGCUGUCGUUGUCAGAUUUUGCUUUUCAGAUAGUCUCUUCUUCUAGUGUUCUGCUCUCGAAGGAUAGGGUGGAGAAUUGCCUUUACAUAACUCGUACACACUAGCAGUAAGUUCGCCCGUAUUUCAGAUUGAGGGAAGCUACGUACCUGAAGUGCAGAACUGGGAUACCUCUUAUACAUUUGUUUUAGAUACUCCUAAGUAGCUCACAUAAUGUGUAGGGAAAAGAGAUGACUGUUCUUUUCCUUUAUAUCAUUUUUUUAGGUUCCUCCUCUCCUGCUCCCUCUGAUGUAAGGAUCAAGAUAAUUUAGGGUGAUGACCCAUCACUCAGUUCAGACAUUCCACUUCUGCCAUUUCUCAUUGCUGCCAUUUUUGAUUAAUCCCUUCUCAAAGUCAUAUGCAAUGUCCUUGCAGGUAUGACUGCUGGAACCUCUCUCCAUGCUCAGUCCAUUCAGCUGUGCAGCUGACAAGUUCACUAAAAACUAAUCCUAGAAAAUCUUUGACCUAAUAUUGUGUACUUUGAUAGACACUGGGUAGGGUAAUGACAAAAAAAGCCUGCAAAAAGACCUCACCACAUUUAUCUUUGUAUGGAUACAUCUAGACCAGCAAAUGAAAUAUGCUGGGACAGUUUUCUGGCAUUGAGGUUAGCAGACCCAAGUCACGUAUGCUUGUGGCUUUAGGUCAAAAUCAGGGUAGCCACGUGUUAACUGGCAUGUGGAUUUGGUGCAGAGAUGGACUACUACAAAGGAUGGGUGCCAGGCAUGGCUGGGAGAGGAUAGGUAGAAAGCACAGGUCAGAGCCAUGCUGGAAACCUGACCACUUCUUUAGCAGCACUACAUUGGGUUCCACUGUCCAUUCCCCAUCAUGGACAUAUCCCCCAUCAGGUUAGUUAAUUGCUGCCAGUCGUUGCUUGUCUCUAGGUGCAUCUUCUCAUUGCUUCCCUCUGACCAUGUAGCAGAUAGGCAGAAAAGGCAAGUGAUGAGAGAACAGUCAUGUGUCUCCUUUGCCUCUGAACACAGCAUGCUGCAUAUAUACUGCCCCACUGGCUCUCAGUCCUAGAUUGGUUCCUUCAUGUUUUAGCCAUGACUUAUGCCUGGAUACCAGGUUUGCUUUUAAAGCAUUUGCUUUAUUUCAUUUAUUCUGCACAUAAUUGAUAUAUGUACAUUGAUUUGAGGAAUUGACUUAAUGACGGGGAAGAGGAAUUCUGCUUUCCUUUUAAGCAGGGGAAUGUUUGAUGGACUGGCUAUGUCAGGCCAGAGAAGUGUGCAUUUACCACAGGGGGUUAUUGAUUCUCCUGGGGUGCCCCAGCUAACAAUGGUGUCUUUAAAAGAUGAAAAUGCUUUGGGUUUAAGAUGGGAUAUGAGCCAGGAAGAGAAUCAUGCAUGACAUUCUCAAAGACACAGAAUGGUAAGGUAUUUUCUCAUGUAAUACACAUACUAUGUAACAGAAGCAUGUGUGCCUUUCUGCCUGAAGAGUCAUGGCAUAGCACUCUGGUUAAUUUGAGCUGCAGGAGGAGUUCUUACAAUGUAAGACUGCAAGAGAGACAGUAACCUGGGAAAAAGACCCACAGAGUUCUUGGUGAUUUUUGAUCACAUCUUGAUUUCCUUUUCAUUUCAUGAACUCCCAGAAGAGACAUCCCCUUUCUGUAAGCAUGCUAAUGCGAAGUAGAUGGACAAAAUGGUGGAGAAUUCAAACUGACGGAGAAAUAAUUUAAUUAAUGAAAAUAAUUGAUUUUAGCAGACAAGAUGUGAAUGUGUGUGAAUGUGCAGGUACAAAUGCGUAUGUGUAUGUAUCUGAAUAUUUACAAGUAUAUAUAAAUAAGUCUUUAAAUGUAAAUGCAUAUAUAAAAUAGAUGAACAUACAGAAUUGGGAGAAUUGUGUAUUUGUAAGUGCAUGCAUGUGUAUGCAUGUGUGCUUGGAUCAUUCAAGAAGGAAACAAAUUCCACCAUAUGGUUUAGGUAUUCACCUAUGUAACUCAACUGGAUAAACUUCUAGAAUAGAGCUGGUGAUAAAAUCCUUCAACUGCUCACAACCACCAGAUGCUAAUUAUGAGAGUCUAUUUUACAUGAAUUACAGCUGAAUAAUGCAGAAGGAUUUUUCAACCCAGGGAAAGGUUUGUAAAUUUGCUACCUUGCAAUGAAGUCUACUUACCGAUUGUAUCAAUUUAUGUGUAAAUAAAAAGAAAGGCUUAACCACCUGGCUCUGAGUCAUACUAAAAAUGAAUGUGGUAUCACAAAGCACAGUUAUAAGAAAUACAGAAAUGAUUUAGCAAAACAGAACUUUGGAUGUUGUGUUGAGGGACAUGGUUUAGCGAGAACCAUUGGUGAAGGGUGAAUGGUUGGACUGGAUGAUCCUGUGGGUCUUUUCCAACCUUAGUGAUUAUACGAUUCUAUAAAACAAACAAACACCUCCCCCCCCCCCCAAAAAAAAAACAGGAAAAGAACAGAGGAGCAUAAAGACAAGACAAUAUGAGGGACUACACUUCAAUAAUUAUGAAUUGCUAGCUCUUGACAUAUCAACAUUGUAAUUCCAUAAAUUUACCUCAUAAGUUUAUCAUUGGAUGAAACAUUUGAUCUAAGCAUAAGAUUUUCAAGAUUUGUGGCUAUAUAUUGCCUACUUCCCAUCCAGUUUGACAAAAAUAGUGAGGAGAAUAUUGGAAUAUUGCACCUCAAUGCUGGUUUCAUUCAUAAUAGCAUAAAUUAUAUUUUUGACAGUGCUUGUGAUUCUUCAUUUUUAUAUUAACUUUGGCUUUCUAUGUGCUGGUGACAUUGUUUAGAAUGUUCAUUCUUGAAUGCACGUCUUCUCCAAUCAGAUGCCAUAUUUACUGCAUUAUACACUGUGUUCCAUUUUACUGUUCAAAAUAACCCCUGUAACUGAUGUCUUUACUGGAAAAACUUUUCUCCUUGAUGUGCAAAGCUGCAUCUGUUUGUGCUUCAGUAGUUUGGUAUAUGAAAAGAAGAUAAAGCUAUAUUUUCAGUAUUCUUGAAUAAUGUUACUCCUUUCUUGAUCUUAGACUUUCAAGCACAGUUGGUUUUCUUUUUGUUAUAAUAGUGGAGGCAUCACAUCUUUAAAUUACAUUCUGCAAAACUGCAGAAAAAAAAAGACUUUAUUUUGGGGAAUGGAAAUCGUGAAAGGUGUACUUUAUGGAUAGAAAUGUUACACAUGCAUUUCAGGUAGUUUUCAGGAAUCAUGGCAGGAACGGACAGUAAUUAUAAUGUGCAUUUCAGUGCUUUUCAGGGAUUUUUUUUUAACUUUCACGUUUUCUGUGUUUUUGACAUUAAUUGUCAUUUGAGCAUACUGAUGACAUCUUUCCCCUUAGUUACAGAUGUGUAUUAGAUGUUUAGCUGAUGGAUAGGUUUUGCCUUCAUGUGGAGUAGAGAAGACAGACAAAUAUACGAUAACUUUCCAAAUUGUCUUAUUUUAUACGCAAGUUGAAUUCAGUGUUAGUCAGCGUUUAGUGUCAUUGGAAGCAAUCAGCUGAGUUAGUGCUUUCACUCUGGUCUAAGAAAGAAAAAAAAAAAGGAAAAAAACCUCCUUUAUUUUGUUGACAACAAGCCAUACAUGGCCUUCUUGAAAAAGAAACUGGUUUCCAGCAAUUUGAAACUGAAGUGCCAUUUCACUAAAGGCUGGUUGAAGUAGACAACUUCAUUUUGUAGAAUUGCCAUUCAGAUCACUUCCAUCAAGGGUAAAUUCCCUCUAAACAAACACCUGCCAACACAGACAUAUUUUCACUACAGACUUAACACUUUGAGGCUUCUCCCUUAGAGCAGAGGCGGGGUGCCACACCACAACAUGUAGUUAUGGAAAAGGUUGGUUGCUCAGGUCUAGGUUUUUCUUGCCUGAAGUUUGACUGAGGAGUUCAUGCUGGAUGUGUGUUUGUCAUUGGCUUCAAGAGAGACCACGGAGGGUUCCCC